AAUUCGAAAAGGGCAGAAACAUCUAAAAGAUAUAAAAACUAUAAUACAUGGUGCUUUCUGUAUACAUGUACAAAACACAUAAAACACCAGAGGAAUAAAACUCACCCAGUCAAGAGCCAUAUCAGGCUCUGUAUCAAGGGUUCCAAGGUGCUUAUACAGGCUGCAAUGUACAAUCUCAAGGUAUAUGGUCCAAGUGGAAAGAUGGAGAGGAAAAACUCGAGUGUAAAAAAACUUUUAUUGGAGCCACAUAAAAAAGGGACAGAUUAAGCAAGAG